CAUGAUGCAGUGUCAUGAGUAAUGAUAAAGCCAGCAUUAAAUACAUGGCAUUAGGGAAGUGCAGAGGCAAGAAAAAUCUAUUUUGUUUCAGUACAAAGAGAUUCCGAAGACCCAUGGUAUUAUGAGUGUUGUUACCUGUUUCUCACAGUGGGAGAUAUGAAAUUAACCAGGAAUGGUGAAUUUCACAAUAAAAAACACGAAGGGAUGCUUCCUAGACCUACAAAGGGGGAGACAGUGCACGGAUACCACAAACUUCACGUGCACUGAUAGGACAAUAAACAAAUGCCUCCCAAGAGAUGUUACAUGGACAAGAAGGGCACAAAGAAGUUUAUACUUCCUGCUCUAGAUUAAUUGUAUCCCGAUACAACACAGGAAGGACAUGGGCUUGAAAUGAACAGACUUGGGCCCAGAUUCUAGCUCCAUCAUUUGCUUCUUUAUCCAGAGCCUCCAAUUCAUUUGCCUUCCAGAGUUUCUGCAGUGAUCAGCAAAACCAUCUGACACAGGGGACCACACAGCGGGAACUCAAUAAAUGCUAAUUCCUUCUCUCAUCCUGUUGCAGAGUCAGCCCAAACCUCUCUCCAAUAUCUUCUACAGGGAAAAGAUCUCUUGGGCUCACCCAGGCUGGGCUGUGGUGUGCAAUUCUUCAUUAAGAGAUAUGAAGAGCCCAGAAAUGGAAAAGCUGGAAUAAAGGAAUGCAGAGUGGGGCUGCCUGUUUUGUUCCUUUUGCAAACACACACAAACAUGAUGAUGGGGAGCAGCACCAGGGACAUGUCAAAGAUGACAGCAGCACUGGUCAGGUGCAAAUUGCCCUUCGAAAAAUGCCUAAGGCAGCACAGCUUUUGGCAGUCUUUUUUUUUUUUCUUUUCUAAUCAAGGCAAAGAUUUCUCUAAAAAAGCACAUAGUAAAGGAAGCCAAAGGAAUGUUAGUGCCUGUCUCUAGAAGCCACAUUUAUCUAUUUUUAGUCCCCAGCAAAGCCCAGUACACUGUAAUCAGUAUAAUAACAUGCUGUCUUUCAUAAAGACAGAUGACACAGUUGACCUUCAGUCCCCAUCUGGACACAGGACGUGUGCUGUGGGUUGUUUUGUCAGCUGUGGGCUUGGAUUAUUUGUCUGUACCCUCUCAUCUAGUUUGGAUCAGAACCAGGCAUUUUCAGGAAGACUAGAAAAUAUGAGUGUGGGGUCAACUGGACCUCUGAAAAAAGAAUUGGUAGAUGUGAAGUCUGAAGGCAUCAUGGGUGGAAUUAGUAUGGAAUUUUGCUCAAGUUACUUACUUCUGUAAAGACCUACUGGCCCCUUAUACUUUGUGGAAUAAAAUCUUCACCUUGAUCUUUUUCACCCAAGUUGGUAACUCAAUGCAGUCUUCCUGCUGGACCACUUCCUCAAUCUUGGGACAUCAAAUAUAUACUCUCAACCUCCUUGAACACAAUAAAACUUAACUUUCUCCAGGUAGGAAGCCAUGAACACUGCAUAUUGCACAUGGGACCUAAAGACAUGGGAGGAAGAAACAGCAUCAGGUUGUCUCACGUGGUGAAGCUUUCAGAAUACCCUCCCUUACAGGCAGCACUGUCCAUCCACUUGGAACCUUCUCUUCCUACUCUCCACAGCAAUCUUAACCAUCUCUCUGGCUUCAGGCUGCUCUUCUUCCAACUAGACUGGGUUCAUCCCACUAGAUGACCCAGGCUUUUCAAUAUUGCAUGUAAAUGUUAUGGCUCUUUCAGUCCCUGCCUACUCCUGAGUCAUUGGUCUCCAAAUCUCAAUGUCAUUCUGCUAGUCCUGGGAAAAGUACAAAGAAAUCUCUUACCAAGCCUCAUUUUCCUCACUUGUAAUGUACAGAUGACUUCUUAGUUCCCUUCCAGUUUGAAAUCCUAGUCCCAAGAAUGGCUUUUCCAACUGUGAGCAACCUGAUACAAGCCUAUCAUCAUUGGAUAUAAUUGGGCUAUAUACAUACAGGUAGAAACAGGUAUAACUAUACACAGAAGACUCAUCUUUUAUACAUGCCAUCACAACCUACAAUUGUAUGUAAAGACCUUAGUCAUUUACAUUGUAGCAUUCAACCUUCACAAUAAAGUUAAUAAAGGCAAGGGCAGGUGUUGCCACUCAAAUUCAGAUCUUCUGACUUUAGGGCCAGGGCUCUCUAUGUGACCCCACACUGUAUCCCUGGUAAGCAGAGGCACUGGGAGCUUAUACGCCUCAGAGAGAGUGGGUAAUGGAGUAUUCUCCCCUCUGAGUCCUCUGAGCUGGUAUAAUGCUAUAGUUAAGAUCAGGCCCUGCAUCAGACUGAGCUAAAUUUGAAUCUUAUAAUUUAGUAGCUGUGUACUGUUGAGCAAGCUAUUCAACUUCUCUGAACCUCAAGUUAGCAUUCUGUAAAAUGAGGGAAUUAAUAAUAUCACAAUGGAGUUAUGAGGAUUUAAUGAGGUAGUUCAUGGAAGUGCUUAACACAGAUCUAGCACAUAGUGCCCCCAAAAUAAUAGUAUUAUUUAGAUUAAUAUUGUAUAUUAACUUGCAUUGAUUCCCAAAGUAUUUCCUGCCCUGUCUGUUCAGAAUCAUUUUAAUUUUUAAAAUCCAGGAGCAAUACACUACUCCUAGUGGAGAACUUGAAUCCAAGGUGAGAUUAGAUGAGCAGGUUCAGAAAGGAUGUUCAAGAAACUUGAUGGAAGAAAAGGUACCACUUGUAGAACUCUGUGGUCUUUCAGAUUGUUGUAAUGCCAGUGAUUCAUUAUAGCCAACACAGAGCAAAUCAUUUGUUAAUAAACAGAGCAUCUCACAAGGAAUGCUAACAGGUCUCUUUAAAGGAGCACCAAUCCCAUAAAAAGCCAAAAGUAAGAAUAAAUAAUAGCAAGAAGCUUGACAUUCAAUGCAGGACAUAUUUCCUGCAUGGGGCCUGCUCGGAACACUUAAAGGUCCAUCUGGAAACAGCAUCAUGCAGAAGCGAGGUCUGCAGCCAGGUCAAGCCAAGCCACCUUUCAUGCUGAGACCCCGACUCUUCUGAAGUUACAAAGUUCAAGGUGAAUCCUCUUCCACAUCCCAGAUAACCAGCUGCCACUCAGGCAUUCCUGAUAAAAGUUCAUCCAGGCUUAGAGUGAAUGAAGUAUUAGGGAGAUAACGAAAAAGUACCCAGGGUCAAAUACAAUGGAAUCCACUUCUCAAACCAGCCCACGACUGUUGAGUGUGCAGCUCCUAUAUUCUCUAGGAAUCCUCUCUCAGAUACAUCUGGUACUUCUAAAUCGGUUUCAUCUUUUAGAUGUAUAUGGAAGAGUGGAGGUUUAAGUAUCUUGGGAGGAAAUCUAAGGAGAUACAGAAUAGAACAAAGUGAAGUGCUGUGAUCCAAAACUGGGGAUCCCUGGGUUCUGCCUCUGCCUGUGGCUUGUGCGCUAUCUAUGACCCAUGGCUCGCAGUUCUGAUGGAGGCUGACCCUCCACCUGUGAAUAUGCUCAGUGGAAAUGAAAGCUUCCAAGUUGGGGAGGGCAAGAAGACUCUUAAGCCUUUCAUACCCUGAGGUUCUAUUUCCCUUCCUUUCUCUGGUCCUCAGUUUCUUAAUCUGUAAAGCAUGGAGCCUAAGCAGGCCUCUCUAGACCAUACAUGAUAUGCUACAGGUCUUCUUGAAUCCAAGGGGUCAUCAGACAUCCUCUUUCUUCAGCCUAGCUCUGGCCUUAAGCCAAUUCCUGCCCACCUUUUAAAAAAUGUGCCUGUGUCACUGACUACCCCGAUGUUCAGCUCUGGAGUUGGAAGUAGGAUCUGAUCAUAGCAUCCUCAGUGGAAGGCAUUUACCACAUGACAUAUAGAUUAACUCUGGGAAGACAUGCUUAGCACCAAUGGCACAUUUAGUCUUUCCUGGGCAGAACCUGACAAAUCUAACCAUUUCUGAAGCAGGGCCUUAUACUCAGGGCGACCCACUGGUUUAUCAUCCAAAUAGGGAUACUUCUGAGAGUGACAAGGGUCACUAACGGCUAUUAAUUAAUUAAUAUUAAUUAAAUGACUAAGGGGUAUUAAUAAAUACACCUGAACCACAGGACUGUCCCAGGUAUCCUAGGACUUAAGGUCAUCAUACUUAAACGUAUUUAUGGAGGAGAGCCUGUGAUAAUUUCAUCAUUAGCCCAAGACAAGAACAGAUGCCCCAGUGUGGACAUGCAUGGGGUCAGAUUUGGUUAUCACAUAGGCCUGAGGACACUGCUGGCAUUGAGCUGGUGGGCAUCAGGGAUGCUAAAUGUCCUGCAAUGUACAAAAUAAUCCCACACAACAGAGAAUUAUCUGGCUCAAAAUGGCCAAAAUUUCCCUACUGAAAAAUACUGAUAUGGUGGGAUAAGAAUAAUUGUAAACAAUGAUAUAAAACGCAGGAUGACAACUUCAAAUGCCUUCAGGGCCAGUCAGGAAUUGGAAGAUCUAUGCCCCUUCUUAAGGAGUUUAAAUUUAAGUCUUUAAAACAAUGCCAAACAAUUUCCAUCCAUAUGCACUAAAUUUGGCUUUUGGCCUCCAGAUUGUGGACUUCUAAUAGACAUUUACUGAUCAGAAAUUAUGUCUAUGUUAUAUUAAGUAAAAACGAAAAGCUACAGCGUAAUCCCAUUAUAUGCGUGUGUGUGUGUGUGUGUGUGUGUGUAUGCAUUCUCUCUUCAUACAUAUAUAAGGAGGGAGAAGAUUCCUAUAUGUAUGUAUGUCAGUCCAUACAUGUAUGUACAUAUGUGUAUGUACACCAAAAUUCUGGAAGAAUAUAGAAUGAAAUUUAGAGUGACAAAGAGAGUAGAUGACCUGAAGUAUAGGUAUUUUCCCCUUUAAAGUUUUCCAUAGCCAUGGACAAAUAUGAACAUUUUUAGCAGCUAUUGGCAACUACUUAUGAUGAAGGCCCCCUGGGAAUAGUCUAUGAAAAGAAACAGCAGCCACAACUCUAGGGUCUGUGCCUGUGAUUGUCAUCACAUCCCAAAUGAUUUUUCCUAACCCUCAAUCAGACUUCUGAUGGGCAUAAAUCCACACCCCUGGGCUCAGCCUGUUGACCCACAGGAAUUAGAGCAAUGUUGAAGGGUGGGGUGCAUACUGGUGGGGAAUGGGAGGGAACUGGUUGCAAAGGAGCAAACCAUUCUCCACUCGCAUGUUAUACUGUGAGGAAAACACGUGCCCAGGCCACCAAGGCAAUCAUUUCUGGGCUCGAAAACAGGAAGAAAUUCACUAAACACUAUGUCGCCAACACAAAGAGUGGAGAAGAUUUGCCAAGAGUGCAGUCCUGUCUUGACCGGGACAUCAGCAUUAAAGGCAGGACCCACUGCCAAGCUCAUGAUUUCUGAAGCAAAGGGGCAGCCACUUGCCUUAGGCCUCCUCUAAUGGCUCUCAGAUAAUCUUAACUUGGGCCUGUAGAUGACAAGGGGUCACUGGGACUCUUUUCCCAUUUACGUGGGAGGAGAUGACUUUUCUAAGCCCCUCAACCUCCAUGAUUUCCCCCACUCUCAUAACAAUCCUAUAAUGAGCUGGGCCCCUUCCAUGUACUAACUCAUUUAAUCCUAACAAUAACCCUAUGAGGCAAGCAUUACUGUCCCCAUUUUACUGAUGAAGAAACAGAGACUCAGGGAGGUUAAGUCUCACAGCUAGUCAGUGUCAGGUUUCAAGUCUAGACUUGUCAGUGCCACAGCCUUUAACUUCCUGUGUUCACCCACCAUUGCACACCUUCAAGGAGCGGCAGACAGAGCUGAGGUAGGUCCUUCAUGGGCAAUGUAACCAUUGCAGCUAGCGCUACUUGAGGAAAAUGUCCAAAGACACAAGGGGCUCUGGAACUGGGCCUUUGGAGACAGGACGUGGACUGACCAUCCAAUUGAUCUGCUGUGCCACUGACCCAGAAAUCAGCCAGAAAUUUCCUCGAUAAUGUCUGAUAAAAUUAAAGAGCAACGGUAGUGAGAAUUGAAUGUGGAGAAAGUGAUCACUUUCUUUUUUCUUUUUUUUUAAAACGGAGUUUUGCUCUUGUUGCCCAGGCUGGAGUGCAGUGGCAUGAUCUCGGCUCACUGCAACCUCUGCCUUGUGAGUUCAAGCAAUUCUCCUGCCUCAGCCUCCAGAGUAGCU
rnacentral:lncRNA from 1 species